UCAGAAUCUGGUUUAUUGGACAAGUGUUUUGAAAUACACACGAAAUUUGGUUUUAGCUGUUUGUGACUCUUUAAAGUACAUAAAUAACACUAUACUAUAUAUAAUAGCUGCUAUUUAUUCCAUUUGUUACUAUAUAUACAAAUUAUUUCUAUAUCUUGCUCCAAAACGCUCUAAGCAGAUGGCAGCACGCUGCAUACAACGACGGCGAAUGAAGGAGGUUUAAGGAGGUGGAUUAUGUUCUAAAACCAGGUCAGGAAAAAAGGAUAAACAAAAUGAGCAGUCGUGUAGUGUAUUUUCUGGUCAGGGUCAUGCAGGAGCCACAAACCUACCCUGGCAAUACUGGGAGUGAGCCUUGCUGUUUGCAGACAAACUGCGUGAUAACAGACAAACACCAUCACCUGCUGAAGGAUUCCAGCACGCGGAAACUUACCGGAUUUACCUGGUCCGCUCGCUGAUACCGGCUGAACACAGAGCGCCGUCCGCGGGUUUGAAGACCCAAAGCAAACUUUGACAGUCUUAGAAUCCCUUCUUUUUUCUCUCUCGUAGUUUUCUAGCCUACCGAGAGGUGAAACGAUGAAGAUAAUGCGUGAAGAUGCUCGCGAUUUGACACGCCUAAGAGCGCGCGACGACUCUGAGCCUCCCGCCCUCACAGAGAAAUAAAUAAUCUCUGCUUUUA